AUACCAUGAUGGGGACAUCUUCUGAGCAAAUCUUUGAAUCUUUCCCACGCUUCAUAUAAAGAUUUCAAGUCUUGCUGAGUGAAUUGCGUAAUCUCAUUCCUCAACUU
rfam:Morus notabilis contig21436, whole genome shotgun sequence.